rnacentral:misc_RNA from 1 species
GAAAUGCGAUAAGUAAUGUGAAUUGCAGAAUUCAGUGAAUCAUCGAAUCUUUGAACGCACCUUGCGCUCCUUGGUAUUCCUUGGAGCAUGCCUGUUUGAGUAUCAUGAAAUCUUCAAAGUAAAUCUUUUGUUAACUCAAUUGGUUUCUACUUUGGUAUUGGAGGUCUUUGCAGCUUCACACCUGCUCCUCUUUGUUCAUUAGCUGGAUCUCAGUGUUAUGCUUGGUUCCACUCGGCGUGAUAAGUUAUCUAUCGCUGAGGACACUGUAAAAGGUGGCCAAGGUAAAUGCAGAUGAACCGCUUCUAAUAGUCCAUUGAAUUGGACAAUACUUUUAUGAUCUGAUCUCAAAUCAGGUAGGACUACCCGCUGAACUUAAGC